rnacentral:rRNA from 1 species
AGAGUUUGAUCCUGGCUCAGGACGAACGCUGGCGGCGUGCCUAAUACAUGCAAGUAGAACGCUGAAGAGAGGAGCUUGCUCUUCUUGGAUGAGUUGCGAACGGGUGAGUAACGCGUAGGUAACCUGCCUUGUAGCGGGGGAUAACUAUUGGAAACGAUAGCUAAUACCGCAUAACAAUGGAUGACACAUGUCAUUUAUUUGAAAGGGGCAAUUGUUCCACUACAAGAUGGACCUGCGUUGUAUUAGCUAGUAGGUGAGGUAAUGGCUCACCUAGGCGACGAUACAUAGCCGACCUGAGAGGGUGAUCGGCCACACUGGGACUGAGACACGGCCCAGACUCCUACGGGAGGCAGCAGUAGGGAAUCUUCGGCAAUGGGGGCAACCCUGACCGAGCAACGCCGCGUGAGUGAAGAAGGUUUUCGGAUCGUAAAGCUCUGUUGUAAGUCAAGAACGGGUGUGAGAGUGGAAAGUUCACACUGUGACGGUAGCUUACCAGAAAGGGACGGCUAACUACGUGCCAGCAGCUGCGGUAAUACGUAGGUCCCGAGCGUUGUCCGGAUUUAUUGGGCGUAAAGCGAGCGCAGGCGGUUUGAUAAGUCUGAAGUUAAAGGCUGUGGCUCAACCAUAGUUCGCUUUGGAAACUGUCAAACUUGAGUGCAGAAGGGGAGAGUGGAAUUCCAUGUGUAGCGGUGAAAUGCGUAGAUAUAUGGAGGAACACCGGUGGCGAAAGCGGCUCUCUGGUCUGUAACUGACGCUGAGGCUCGAAAGCGUGGGGAGCGAACAGGAUUAGAUACCCUGGUAGUCCACGCCGUAACCGAUGAGUGCUAGGUGUUGGAUCCUUUCCGGGAUUCAGUGCCGCAGCUAACGCAUUAAGCACUCCGCCUGGGGAGUACGACCGCAAGGUUGAAACUCAAAGGAAUUGACGGGGGCCCGCACAAGCGGUGGAGCAUGUGGUUUAAUUCGAAGCAACGCGAAGAACCUUACCAGGUCUUGACAUCCCGAUGCUAUUUCUAGAGAUAGAAAGUUACUUCGGUACAUCGGUGACAGGUGGUGCAUGGUUGUCGUCAGCUCGUGUCGUGAGAUGUUGGGUUAAGUCCCGCAACGAGCGCAACCCCUAUUGUUAGUUGCCAUCAUUCAGUUGGGCACUCUAGCGAGACUGCCGGUAAUAAACCGGAGGAAGGUGGGGAUGACGUCAAAUCAUCAUGCCCCUUAUGACCUGGGCUACACACGUGCUACAAUGGUUGGUACAACGAGUUGCGAGUCGGUGACGGCGAGCUAAUCUCUUAAAGCCAAUCUCAGUUCGGAUUGUAGGCUGCAACUCGCCUACAUGAAGUCGGAAUCGCUAGUAAUCGCGGAUCAGCACGCCGCGGUGAAUACGUUCCCGGGCCUUGUACACACCGCCCGUCACACCACGAGAGUUUGUAACACCCGAAGUCGGUGAGGUAACCUUUUGGAGCCAGCCGCCUAAGGUGGGACAGAUGAUUGGGGUGAAGUCGUAACAAGGUA